AAAUUGAAGAGUUUGAUCAUGGCUCAGAUUGAACGCUGGCGGCAGGCCUAACACAUGCAAGUCGAGCGGUAGCACAGAGAGCUUGCUCUCGGGUGACGAGCGGCGGACGGGUGAGUAAUGUCUGGGAAACUGCCUGAUGGAGGGGGAUAACUACUGGAAACGGUAGCUAAUACCGCAUAAUGUCGCAAGACCAAAGUGGGGGACCUUCGGGCCUCAUGCCAUCAGAUGUGCCCAGAUGGGAUUAGCUAGUAGGUGGGGUAAUGGCUCACCUAGGCGACGAUCCCUAGCUGGUCUGAGAGGAUGACCAGCCACACUGGAACUGAGACACGGUCCAGACUCCUACGGGAGGCAGCAGUGGGGAAUAUUGCACAAUGGGCGCAAGCCUGAUGCAGCCAUGCCGCGUGUGUGAAGAAGGCCUUCGGGUUGUAAAGCACUUUCAGCGGGGAGGAAGGCGGUGAGGUUAAUAACCUCAUCGAUUGACGUUACCCGCAGAAGAAGCACCGGCUAACUCCGUGCCAGCAGCCGCGGUAAUACGGAGGGUGCAAGCGUUAAUCGGAAUUACUGGGCGUAAAGCGCACGCAGGCGGUCUGUCAAGUCGGAUGUGAAAUCCCCGGGCUCAACCUGGGAACUGCAUUCGAAACUGGCAGGCUAGAGUCUUGUAGAGGGGGGUAGAAUUCCAGGUGUAGCGGUGAAAUGCGUAGAGAUCUGGAGGAAUACCGGUGGCGAAGGCGGCCCCCUGGACAAAGACUGACGCUCAGGUGCGAAAGCGUGGGGAGCAAACAGGAUUAGAUACCCUGGUAGUCCACGCCGUAAACGAUGUCGAUUUGGAGGUUGUGCCCUUGAGGCGUGGCUUCCGGAGCUAACGCGUUAAAUCGACCGCCUGGGGAGUACGGCCGCAAGGUUAAAACUCAAAUGAAUUGACGGGGGCCCGCACAAGCGGUGGAGCAUGUGGUUUAAUUCGAUGCAACGCGAAGAACCUUACCUGGUCUUGACAUCCACAGAACUUUCCAGAGAUGGAUUGGUGCCUUCGGGAACUGUGAGACAGGUGCUGCAUGGCUGUCGUCAGCUCGUGUUGUGAAAUGUUGGGUUAAGUCCCGCAACGAGCGCAACCCUUAUCCUUUGUUGCCAGCGGUUCGGCCGGGAACUCAAAGGAGACUGCCAGUGAUAAACUGGAGGAAGGUGGGGAUGACGUCAAGUCAUCAUGGCCCUUACGACCAGGGCUACACACGUGCUACAAUGGCAUAUACAAAGAGAAGCGACCUCGCGAGAGCAAGCGGACCUCAUAAAGUAUGUCGUAGUCCGGAUUGGAGUCUGCAACUCGACUCCAUGAAGUCGGAAUCGCUAGUAAUCGUAGAUCAGAAUGCUACGGUGAAUACGUUCCCGGGCCUUGUACACACCGCCCGUCACACCAUGGGAGUGGGUUGCAAAAGAAGUAGGUAGCUUAACCUUCGGGAGGGCGCUUACCACUUUGUGAUUCAUGACUGGGGUGAAGUCGUAACAAGGUAACCGUAGGGGAACCUGCGGUUGGAUCACCUCCUUACCUUAAAGAA
rnacentral:rRNA from 1 species